AUUGAACGCUGGCGGCAGGCCUAACACAUGCAAGUCGAACGAGUGGCGGACGGGUGAGUAAUGUCUGGGAAACUGCCUGAUGUAGGGGGAUAACUACUGGAAACGGUAGCUAAUACCGCAUACUAUCAGAUGUGCCCAUAUGGGAUUAGCUGGUGGGUGGGGUAACGGCUCACCAAGGCGACGAUCCCGAGCUGGUCUGAGAGGAUGACCAGCAAAAAUGGGACUGAGACACGGUCCAGACUCCCACGGGAGGCAGAAGUGGGGAAUAUUGCACAAUGGGCGCAAGCCUGAUGCAGCAAUGCCGCGUGUAUGAAGAAGGCCUUCGGGUUGUAAAGUACUUUCAGCGGGGAGGCGUUACCCGCAGAGGAAGCACCGGCUAACUCCGUGCCAGCAGCCGCGGUAAUAC
rnacentral:rRNA from 1 species